rnacentral:lncRNA from 1 species
UUAUUCUUUUCUUACAUGCAUUCGUUGUGAAUUUAGGGACGACUGAUAUAGUGACACGUGUCCAGACGGUUGUAACCGUCUUGGUGGUGCACGAUUGUAUUAUUUCUAGAAGAUUACUGCUGUAAUCUGGUGUGACACCUUAUCGUGUGAAACAGGUGAAUAAAUCCCAAGUCUGGGCAAAUAAUAUCCAAGUCUGAAUAUUAAGCGGAAGUAUUUAACUCCGGAUUCUUAUCCUUUGUUUUGUGUAGGAAAGGCGCAAGGUUUUAUGGUUCCCUUUGGUGCGCGGUCGCGCAAGGUGCCAGGCUGAAAGUUACGUUUGUGGUAUGGUCCCAAGCACUUAUUAUGAGGUUUUUGGGACCUUACCCCUUCAAGUCCCCCCAGUCUAGUGUUGUACUUAUGCAAAUAAGUGGAGCACUGGACUUAUGAGAGGGAAUGCUUUUGGGUGUGGUAUGUAAAGAAUCUUCUACGAGAAGAUUUAAAUU